AGGUAUGAGGACAAUUUGUCCCAGAACACGCCUCCUCAUGGGUCACUAAGGUGAGUGUGGCUGAUCCGGCCGGCCGGCUAGGCAAGUGUCCCCUUCCUAUAUCAGCAUUCUGGGUGCUUCCUGCUUCCUGCUUUAAGUGGCCAACCUCCUGGAGAGAGCCAAGGGCAUGCAAGUAAGUGUACUCCCCUGCUAGGAUCUCCAAACAAACUCUCAGAAGCAACCUCACGAGGAGCUUCAGGAAAGAGAGAUAGGCCCACUGGGGGGCUGUGUUGGAACCUCCACCCAUCAGACCCC
rnacentral:snRNA from 1 species